rnacentral:tRNA from 1 species
GCCGGGGUGGCGGAACUGGCAGACGCUGGGGACUUAAAAUCCCCUGACCCAAAAGGUCGUGUGGGUUCGAUCCCCACCCCCGGCA